UGGAGGAGGGGAGAAACGGAUGGUGAGGCACAACACUGAUGGAGAGGAAGAAACACAGCAAAAGAUGACACUACAGCGACUGAGCAUGCUCAUCGCUUCCUAAUCCCGGAAGAUCAAGAGCAUCCAGGCUGGAAGUGUGACUGGGCGGAAGCCAGCAUGAAGCUUCCAGAGAUGUUGACUCACAUGGUGAUCGCUCCAGGCUCACCACCACAGCAUGUCACUGCUGUCUAACCUUUUGUUGUUUCAGCCUCAAAUUUGUAUUCAGAUUUGUAUUCAAAUGUCAAAUAUUUGCUACCUCAUGUGAGCAAUGCCCAUUAUUAGUUUUUCUGCCAUUCAGUGAUAGAUAUUGGUUAUUAGAGCAGAAAACAUAUUUGCACAGGCUAAACGCAGAUGAAAAUAAGAGGUUAUGUGUCAAG